rnacentral:lncRNA from 1 species
CAAGAAGGAGAGUAAGUCCUGCUGAGGGAGUAAAAUCACCAGCGGCACGAUCCAGCAAUUGGUUCUUGCUGCUGAUGAAUACUAAAGAGUCCUUGGCGAUCCUGCAUGCAGUUGUGCUAGAGAGCAUCAAAGUGGCCUCAAGAAGGAGAUAUUUGUGGAAGAAGCCAUUCACAAGUAAAGAGAAGUGCCAGGGAAAGGAGCUUUCAGACCGGCUGCUGUGGGAGGUUCUUUGGAGAAUUUUUCCACCAACAGGACUGACAGCCUUUUGAAGCCAUGUGCUUUAUUUCAGAGACCCAGAGGCUGAAAGUUCCUAUUUAUCCACAAGGCAAGCAUUGGUUCUCCAUUGACUUUAUAAACAUUUGUGUGGUAACCAUUCAGCAUUUCUCAAGGUUGACUCAUUGGAGUGCAGGAGAAGCCGGAGACAGCCCUGAGACCAGAAGAGAUGAUGAACAGAGGUACAAGGUCAUGACAAAUGUAGUGUGGCUACACAGAAGUGGUGCAACUGGAGCUCCCUCAGGGCAUGAGAAGCGAGCAGAAGCAAGAGGAGCACAUAGUGACCUUCACCUUGUGUAAUGGAGGUACACAUGUCUGUUUGCCCUGCAGCAGUGAAGGCCACCCUUGAAUUACAGAUG